rnacentral:lncRNA from 1 species
AUAUGGGGUGUAACCGAGUUGGAACUCGAUGAGAUCACGGGUUUCACAUUGCCAUUAGGAUAGAUUUUUCCUUUUGAGCGCAAUUACCUCUUUUCAGGAAUUGCUUCCUUUUGUAUUGCUCAAUUUGAGCCACACACUUUUCAAAUCAAUAAAAUGCAUAUUCAGUCAAAUAAUUUUGUUUUUGUUUUUCAUUACCGCUUUGAUUGCAAAAACAUCCGGAUAUUUUUG